UUGAUCCUGGCUCAGAAUCAACGCUGGCGGCGCGCCUAACACAUGCAAGUCGAACGAGAAAGUGGAGCAAUCCAUGAGUACAGUGGCGUACGGGUGAGUUACACGUGGAUAAUCUACCUCUUAGUGGGGAAUAACCAGGGGAAACUCUGUCUAAUACCGCAUAAGCCUGAGAAGGGAAAGCAGCAAUGCGCUGAGAGAGUAGCCCGCGGCCGAUUAGCUAGUUGGUGGGGUAAGAGCCCACCAAGGCAGUGAUCGGUAGCCGGCCUGAGAGGGCACACGGCCACACUGGCACUGAAACAUGGGCCAGACUCCUACGGGAGGCAGCAGUGGGGAAUCUUGCACAAUGGGGUAAACCCUGAUGCAGCGACGCCGCGUGAGCGAUGAAGCCCUUCGGGGUGUUAAGCUCUUUCGUCAGGGACGAUAAUGACGGUACCUGGAGAAGCAGCUGCUGCUAACUACGUGCCAGCAGCCGCGGUAAUU
rnacentral:rRNA from 1 species